CAUAGCGACUAUCGUGGCAUAUCAUAAGCGGAGGAAAAGAAACUAACAAGGAUUCCCUAGUAACGGCGAGUGAAGCGGGAAGAGCUCAAAUUUGAAAUCUUAAAGGUUUACCUUGACGAAUUGUAGUUUAAAGAAGUGUUUUCUGUUGAAGUUUCGGUAAAAGUUCUUUGGAAUAGGACAGUCAUAGAGGGUGAGAAUCCCGUAUUUGACCAGUUACUUUCCAGCUGUGUGAUACACUUUCAAAGAGUCGGAUUGUUUGGGAAUGCAGUCCAAAAUGGGUGGUAAAUUUCAUCUAAAGCUAAAUAUUGGCGAGAGACCGAUAGCGAACAAGUACCGUGAGGGAAAGAUGAAAAGAACUUUGAAAAGAGAGUUAAACAGUACGUGAAAUUGUCAAAAGGGAAGCGUUUGACACCAGUGUUGUUUUCUCGAAAAUCAAUUAAAAAUGGUGGGAUGUUGUGUUGUAUUGACUUUAUCAGCUUUCUGCACUUUUUUUCCUAUCUUUUUUAAUGCACUUUUCGUUUAACAAGUCAACAUCAAUUUCUUUUGUUGUAAAAGAGUCAUUGGAAGGUGGCUUUCUUUUCGGAGAAAGUGUUUAUAGCCUUUGGCUUCUGCAAUCGGAGAGAUUGAGGUCUGCAGCGUAGAUCCUUCGGGGUUAGAUACAUUUGUGCUAAGUUAUAGCCUUUCAUAGACAACUUGUUGACUAUGAUCAGUCAUGUAGCUUACUCGCUUAUGCUAUUUUACCUACGCUUAGGAUGUUGAUAUGCAUGACUGAUAU
rnacentral:rRNA from 1 species